UUUUGGAACGGAGGGAGUACU
rnacentral:miRNA from 1 species